rnacentral:rRNA from 1 species
AACGAACGCUGGCGGCAGGCCUAACACAUGCAAGUCGAGCGCGCCCUUCGGGGUGAGCGGCGGACGGGUGAGUAACGCGUGGAACGUGCCCUUUUCUACGGAAUAGCCUCGGGAAACUGAGAGUAAUACCGUAUACGCCCUUUGGGGGAAAGAUUUAUCGGAAAAGGAUCGGCCCGCGUUGGAUUAGGUAGUUGGUGGGGUAAUGGCCUACCAAGCCGACGAUCCAUAGCUGGUUUGAGAGGAUGAUCAGCCACACUGGGACUGAGACACGGCCCAGACUCCUACGGGAGGCAGCAGUGGGGAAUCUUAGACAAUGGGGGCAACCCUGAUCUAGCCAUGCCGCGUGAGUGAUGAAGGCCUUAGGGUUGUAAAGCUCUUUCAGCUGGGAAGAUAAUGACGGUACCAGCAGAAGAAGCCCCGGCUAACUCCGUG